ACAAAGUAAGAUGCCACGGGGCAUAAGUGCAAGAAUUAAGUCAAGGACAUUGGAAUUAAGUUCGAGAAAUAGGAAAUUAGACCGAAGAGGGUCUACCAAAAUUAUCGUAAAAUAAUAAUUUAAGUAUAAAUUAUUAUUCGAUGAAUUGGAUUUUAGCGGGACUAAAGGAUAAUUAAUACAUUAAAUAAAAUAAAUGGUAAGUCCCGAGUUAAUAAAUUUUACGAUAAAGUUCGUAAAAUAAAUUCAAGGAGCUAAGAUUUAAUUUUAUAGAAAUUGGAUGAAAGCAUUUUAUUAAACGGAAUUUUGAUUAUCGGAAAAAGAAAAAGGACAUAAAUAAAUUAUUUAGACCCGGAUAAAUAAAUAAUGCGAUAGAGUCCGUUAUUUAUCAAUAAAGAAUAAUCGUCAAAGUUCCGUUUAAUUAUGAUAACAUUUUGGAAUAUAAUUGGAAAAAUUAAAAGUUGAGCGUUUAAAUCGAAAGUUAUUAAAAUAAAUUAUCGGAAAAUAUAGUAAUGAGGUAGCGGAAUAAUAUUAUUUAUUUGGAUAUAAAUAAUACGGAAUUUAUCGAGAUCGGACAGUUAAAGGAUUAAUGGAUUAAAUUGGACGAAAGAAAAGUUGGAAAUUGAAACGAAUGGAGGUGGCAACUUAAAGGACCAAGAGGAGUAUUUUUCCAACCUAUACAUAAGUGUUGCAAAUGAAAUUUUUUUCAUUUUCUACCUCAUUUCCAGCAAGAACUUUGAGAGAAGAAGAGUUCAUCAUCUUCAUUAUUCCAUAAUCUUCUAAACCUCACCAAAGCUUCGUUUCUUAUCCGAUUUACGUGAUUCUUGCGGCAACGGAAAGAGGAAGACGAUAGCUACAAAUCUUGGCCAUCAAUUCAAGAUAACGGUUUGGAGUGGUUUUUGUUGCGUUGGAUUGAGGAAAUAAAUAUCUACCAUCUAAGGGUUGUAAAUCAAGACCCGGCGAGACGAUUACUAACGGGACUCGGAACGUGACGAACGCGAUACCGUUUUACGAAUUCUCGAAGAUUAUGGUUAGCAAGUGUGUUUUGUUUCAGGUGAUAGUAUUUGAAGAGAUGGACUUCCAUUCUUGUUCCGGAAGUCUACAACAUAUAAAGUAUGUAUUGAAGUACGCUUCAAUUCGUAGCGCUGCAGUAGUCAGUAGAUGUCAGUCUAUAUUUGAUUGUUUAUACCGAACGAGAUCCAGCUGUUAACUCUGAUUUUAUAAAAUAUAUAUAUAUAUACGAUUUAUAAAACUAUGUUUUUACCCGUUUGAUAUUUCACCAAUUGUCUAUGAAUGAAAUUGGUAUGAAAUUGUAUGAUUCGGAACAAGGCAAUGCUGAGUUAUGUUAUCGCAGAGUAAGACCUUAGUUCCAAUCGAUUAUGCAUCGGUUAUGAAAGAACGUUUUCGACGAUUAUGAAAUAUUGUUUUACGAAGUUUUCCCGAAAACGUUUUGUGCAUAA